AGUGAACGCUGGCGGUAGGCCUAGCACAUGCAAGUCGAACGGCAGCACAGUAAGAGCUUGCUCUUACGGGUGGCGAGUGGCGGACGGGUGAGGAAUACAUCGGAAUCUACUUUUUCGUGGGGGAUAACGUAGGGAAACUUACGCUAAUACCGCAUACGACCUACGGGUGAAAGCAGGAGAUCUUCGGACCUUUCGCGAUUGAAUGAGCCGAGGUCGGAUUAGCUAGUUGGCGGGGUAAAGGCCCACCAAGGCGACGAUCCGUAGCUGGUCUGAGAGGAUGAUCAGCCACACUGGAACUGAGACACGGUCCAGACUCCUACGGGAGGCAGCAGUGGGGAAUAUUGGACAAAGGGCGCAAGCCUGAUCCAGCCAUACCGCGUGGGUGAAGAAGGCCUUCGGGUUGUAAAGCCCUUUUGUUGGGAAAGAAAAGCAGCAGGUUAAUACCCCGCUGUUCUGACGGUACCCAAAGAAUAAGCACCGGCUAACUUCGUG
rnacentral:rRNA from 1 species